rnacentral:rRNA from 1 species
GACGAACGCUGGCGGCGUGCCUAAUACAUGCAAGUCGAACGAGAGCGACCGGUGCUUGCACUGGUCAAUCUAGUGGCGAACGGGUGAGUAACACGUGGGUAACCUGCCCAUCAGAGGGGGAUAACAUCCGGAAACGGAUGCUAAAACCGCAUAGGUCUUCGAGCCGCAUGGCUUGAAGAGGAAAAGAGGCGCAAGCUUCUGCUGAUGGAUGGCCCCGCGUUGAAUUAGCUAGUUGGUGAGGUAACGGCUCACAAAGGCCGUGAUGAAUACCCGACCUGAGAGGGUGGUCGGCCACAGUGGGAAUGAGACACGGCCCAAACCCAGACGGGGGGCAGAAGGAGGGAAUCUUCCGAAAUGGACGAAAGUCGGACGGAGCAACGCCGCGGGAGGGAAGAAGGUUUUCGGAUCGUAAAACUCUGUGAUUAGAGAAGAACAAGUGCGAAAGUAAUUGUGCGCGCCUGAACGGUAUCUAACAAGAAAGCCACGGCUAACUACGUG